AAGCUGCUGGUUGGGGACCACUGCUGUAAAGUUCAAAUUUAAAUGAGAACAAAAAAUGAAGUUGAAGUCUAUAUAAAGUGCAGUUCCCUUUAAUAACAUGACUAUAAUUGGACAAAACAAAACAAAAAAGUGUACAUUCCAGGAUUCCGUAAUUGGACGGAGAUGUUUGAGCCCUGCGUGUGGACACGGGCUCUUGUUUUCGUGAUUAAAAAGCCAAGCAGCAUUUUUUUAGUUUGACGCUGGAGGAUAAGCUGAGGCAGCAAACAUUUGAUGCUGACGCCAGCUUCGGAGCAGGGUGUCAUUAUCCUUCAGGAGGUCACAUGAACGCCCAGCUUCUCCAAAAAGAACCGAGCGUGGACGCAUGACUCGUUGAUACACGGUCGCCGUGGGGACCGGCGAACUCCUCCACGCGUCAACAUGGACAGAAAGGCGAGGGCGUGGACGCCUGACCCAGACAUAACACCUGGGAGCGUUGGGGUCAAACAAGCCCGGGCCUGCUCAAUGGCCCGCCCGCCGUUUGACCUGAGCGCCGGGCGCCGCAGAGCAGCAGCAGGUUAACGGGGACACGACGCAAACCUCGUGAAGUAGGUCACCCACUUCAGAUGUUUGCUCACAAGGUGUCAGCGCUGCUUCCGCAAAGAGGCGAUUUGAGGGACGCCAUGGCGUCCGCUUCGGUUUCGUUUCAGAUGAUUUCAGGAUAAAACCAAAAUGUUCACGCGGACUUCGGCUUCCUCGUUCUAAUAAAAGAAUGUUGUUACGAAAGAAAGAACUUCCUUGAUCACAUUGCUGACAGUCAUGAUACAGAUUGUUCACAAUCCUUUUUUGAGACAAGAACACAUGAUUUUAUCUCAUGUAUUCUAAAUCAUAAAUAAACACUAGCAAAGGUCAGCUAGAAAUGGAGCCAAUAUGAGUGGCUCAAAUCCCGCCUCCAAAUUGCUCUAAAAAAAAAUUCUAAUAACAUUUUAUAUUCACUAUAAAAAUAUAUGCAAUUUAGUAACAUUCAUAAUAGCUUGUAUUUAUGUAAUUUCAACAACUUCACUAGUCAUGGCAGACUUCAUGAGAGGCAUCAAAGACUACUUUGGGACAAAUGAUGAUCCAGAAACUUAUAUUUUUGAGCCUGAAUAUAAGGAGGACUGUUACAUACAACUGGGGAAGUAGACCAGUUUUUUUCAACCUUUUUUGAGCCAAGGCACGUUUUUUGCGUUGAAAAAAAUCCGGAGGCACACCGCCAGCAGAAAUCGUUAAAAAACAAAACUCAGUUGAAAGUAAAAAGUCGUUGUCGCAAUUGUUGGAUAUGACUUUAAACCAUAACCAAGCAUGCAUGACUACAGCUCUUGUCUCAAAGUAGUUGUACUGUCACUACCUGUCACAUCACACCCUGACUUAUUUUGACUUGUUUGCUGUUUUCCUGUGUGUAGUGUUUUAGUUCUUUUCUUGCGCACCUAUUUUGGUGGCUUUUUCUCUUUUUUUGGUAGUUUCCUGUAGCAGUUUCAUGUCUUCCUUGGAGCCAUAUUUCCCGCAUGUACUUUGUUUUAGCAAUCGAGAAUAUUUCAGUUGUUUUUAUCCUUCUUUCAUGUCACGUUCGGAUGUACAUUGUGGACGCCCUCUUUGCUCCACAGUAAGUCUUUCCUGUCGUCCAGCAAUCUGUUUUUGUUUACUUUGCAGCCAGUUCAGUUUUACUUUCGUUCUGCAAAGCCUUCCCUAAGCUUCAUUGCCUUUUCUUAGCAGCACUCAAAAAUUUUUUUAUUUUUGGUUUAAGCAUUUGACAACUUUUUACCUGCACACUGCCUCCCGCUGUUUCCAAAGCAAUUAGCUACCGACUAGACAGCACCGACACUCAACAACAACACAUCAUUUUCAGACUAUAAUUACUGGUUUGCAAAAACAUUUUUAACCCAAAUAGGUGAAAUUAGAUCAACUCCCAUGGCACACCAGAUUGUAUCUCACUGCACGCUAGUGUGCUGCGGCACAGUGGAUGGAAAAACACUUAAGUAGAUGACACAACGGCUGUGUCUGCUACUCUAAGGGAAAGGUGCAAGGCGAUGUGUAGAAUUAACCACGUAAAUGUAUAAGGCGAGAAGGCAGUCCGUGGGCAGACAAGCGGUCAAGGGCUGGGGAGAAGCAAAGAGGUCCGUGUCCAAGCAGGGGUUGAGGAUCGGGGUAGGCAGUCUGGAAUCCAGAGGGAAGUCGAGGCACACAGCUCGAUCACACAAAGGACAGAAGACACGGAAACAGGGAAGGCACAGAAAGAGAUCAAGUACGUGGGAGGGAAGCCAAAGACGGGACGCUUACUAUGGGAGUGCCAUCCCAUUCCUAACCCAUAGGGUUCAAUAUGAUGCGGAGUAUAUGCGAAAAAAAAUUUUUUUAGGAAUUUUCCACCAUUCUUCCAAAAGCGCAUUGGUGAGGUCACACACUGAUGUUGGUCGAGAAGGCCUGGCUCACAGUCUCCGAUCUAGUUCAUCCCAAAGUUGUUCUAUCGGAGUCAUGUCACGACUCUGUGCAGGCCAGUCAAGUUCAUCCACACCAGACUCUUGUCAUCCAUAUCUAAAUGAUUAAAUAAUAAUGAUGAUGAUAAAAAUAACAAUAAGUACUGUAUAUAUACAUUAAUAAAUUAAAGACUAUGCAUAAAAAUAGUUUAAAAAAAGGUUUUAAGUGUAAAUAAAAAAAAGUCCAUACAUACACUAUAUUGCCAAAAGUAUUUGGCCACCUGCCUUGACUCACAUAUGGACUUAAAGGGCCAUCCCAUUCCUAACCCAUAGGGUUCAAUAUGAUGCGGAGUAUAUGCGAAAAAAAUUUUUUUUAGGAAUUUUCCACCAUUCUUCCAAAAGCGCAUUGGUGAGGUCACACACUGAUGUUGGUCGAGAAGGCCUGGCUCACAGUCUCCGAUCUAGUUCAUCCCAAAGUUGUUCUAUCGGAGUCAUGUCACGACUCUGUGCAGGCCAGUCAAGUUCAUCCACACCAGACUCUUGUCAUCCAUAUCUAAAUGAUUAAAUAAUAAUGAUGAUGAUAAAAAUAACAAUAAGUAUAUAUACAUUAAUAAAUUAAAGACUAUGCAUAAAAAUAGUUUAAAAAAAGGUUUUAAGUGUAAAUAAAAAAAAGUCCAUACAUACACUAUAUUGCCAAAAGUAUUUGGCCACCUGCCUUGACUCACAUAUGGACUUAAAGGGCCAUCCCAUUCCUAACCCAUAGGGUUCAAUAUGAUGCGGAGUAUAUGCGAAGUUUGUUUUUUUUAGGAAUUUUCCACCAUUCUUCCAAAAGCGCAUUGGUGAGGUCACACACUGAUGUUGGUCGAGAAGGCCUGGCUCACAGUCUCUGAUCUAGUUCAUCCCAAAGUUGUCCUAUCGGAGUCGGGUCAGGACUCUGUGCAGGCCAGUCAAGUUCAUCCACACCAGACUCUGCCAUCCAUUACUUUAUGGACCUUGCUUUGUGCACAGUCAUAUUGGAAGAGUAAGGGGCUCGCUCCGAGUGUGAAACCCCGCAACCUUGUGGACAGCCUUCCCAGAAGAGUUGAAGCUGUAAUAGCUGCAAAAAUGUGGACCGAAAUCAAAUUGAACCCUUUGGGUUAGGAAUGGGAUUGCAAUUCAAGUUCACAUCCCGUCCCAUAACACAGUGGUGAACAUGCCCUUUCCCAACUACUUUGGCACGUGUUGCAGACAUGAAAUUCUAAGUUCAUUAUUAUUUGCAAAAAAAAAAUAAAGUUUAUGAGUUUGA